GUCCACGCCGUAAACGAUGAAUGCCAGACGUCAGCAAGCAUGCUUGUUGGUGUCACACCAAACGGAUUAAGCAUUCCGCCUGGGGAGUACGGUCGCAAGAUUAAAACUCAAAGGAAUUGACGGGGCCGCACAAGCGGUGGAGCAUGUGGUUUAAUUCGAAGCAACGCGCAGAACCUUACCAACCCUUGACAUACCUGUCGUAGUUACCAGAGAUGGUUUCGUCAGUUCGGCUGGACAGGAUACAGGUGCUGCAUGGCUGUCGU
rnacentral:rRNA from 1 species